GAUGAACGCUGGCGGCGUGCCUAAUACAUGCAAGUCGAGCGCAAAGAUCAGGAGCUUGCUCCUGUGAUUUGAGCGGCGGACGGGUGAGUAACACGUAGGCAACCUACCCUUGAGAUUGGGAUAACUACCGGAAACGGUAGCUAAUACCGGAUACGACCUUUCCACACAAGUGGAAUUGUUAAAAGGCGGAUUUAUCUGCCGCUCAUGGAUGGGCCUGCGGUGCAUUAGCUAGUUGGUGAGAUAGUAGCUCACCAAGGCGACGAUGCAUAGCCGACCUGAGAGGGUGAUCGGCCACACUGGGACUGAGACACGGCCCAGACUCCUACGGGAGGCAGCAGUAGGGAAUCUUCCGCAAUGGACGAAAGUCUGACGGAGCAACGCCGCGUGAGUGAUGAAGGGUUUCGGCUCGUAAAACUCUGUUGUUAAGGAAGAAUACUUGAGGUAGUAACUGGCCUUGAGAUGACGGUACUUAACCAGAAAGCCACGGCUAACUACGUGCCAGCAGCCGCGGUAAUACGUAGGUGGCAAGCGUUAUCCGGAAUUAUUGGGCGUAAAGCGCGCGUAGGCGGUAAAAUAAGUCUGAUGUGAAAGCCCCCGGCUCAACCGGGGAGGGUCAUUGGAAACUGUUUUACUUGAGUACAGAAGAGGAGAGUGAAUUCCAUGUGUAGCGGUGAAA
rnacentral:rRNA from 1 species